UCCGUAGUGAACCUGCGGAAGGAUCAUU
rnacentral:rRNA from 1 species